UGUUCAUUUCAAUCAACGGACGUUCGAAAUCCAGACACAUUUCCAAAAUACCUAUCAAAUUUGUAUUGCAUCUGUUGUGAAGUAAUCAAAAUAGUCAACUGAUCAGACGGAGAUUAUUGGGCGAUUUUAAAAGAGUACCACUGCAAUAACAUAAUCAAUCAACUCUUAAAAUCCAUUCACCCCUCAACAAGACCGUUCUAAAACAGCACAGAAAUGAGUCGCUGCGAUGAUGGUGGUGUUUAUUGUGGAGACGAAGACAGUUCCGACGAUAAUGUCUGGUGUUGUUGUCCGGGUGGCAUCAAAAAGAAGAAGGUUAUCAACCAAAGUAGCAUUGAAAAUGCGUGCGCAACAACAACUGCCGAAGCAAAUCAAAAGAAAAAGAAAGAAAAGAAACCGAAGCCAGAUUAUGAAGGAGGCCUUUUUUAAUUCUGAUACCAAGUGAAAUUUUUUUUGAAAUAUUGCUUCGUUUUAUGCAGUGAAAUAUAUUUUGAAGAUAGAACACUGUAUGUUAACUUGACAAACUGAAUGCAUGCUUUUAAUCUUUUAUUAGUUAUAAGUAUUUAUGUAUUAUUGGUGGUUUCGUAGAAAAGCAUUGACAAGUGGUUAAUGGAUUGAACAUGUAGAUAUUUCCAAAUCUUCCAAUACUCAAUUCAGAUUCCAAAUAAAAAGAAGGUGUACUGUCGAAGGAUAAAAUGAGAAUAAAACGUAAAAAACAUCAUCCUGUGACGUAGUUAUUUGGUCCAUAAGAUCAUUAUAAUUAAACCAACAACGUAUUCUUUUGAUACUUAUACUCGUUAUCAUGAGCUAAAAUAGUUAGUGCCAAUUUCCUUUUAAUUUAUUUCCCACCAACGUAAUUUUUAUUAUAUCAUUCAAUAUUUCCUUAAAUUUAAAUAAUGUGUAUUCUGAGUUGCUAACAAAUUUAUGACGUACCUCUCGACUUGAUACUCUUUAUUUCUAAAGUUAGAUACAACCUGAUAGAUUUUAAAAUUUCCAAACAUUGAAUUUGAAGGACAUUCAUAACCUACGAAACAAAAAGAAAUAACACAAAUAAGAGCUUUGUGGUAGUCUUUCAGAAACGAAAUUAAAUCAUUUUGGCUAACUCUGUCGUUCGAUGCAAACUUUUUUACAAAAGAAUGUAAAAUUUGCUUUAAUAUAUAAGAAUUGUCUUCAACUUUGAUUUUUUUUAGAUAAAUAACAUAUUGAAGUACUGCAUAUAGUACAUUUCACUGAAAAUCCUUUGGAUAUAUUAUCUAGUCUCCUUGAAAUUCAAACUCCAGUAGUUUUUAACACCUUUUAAAUUUUGACAAUUGAAGAGAAACAAAUAAAAAGGAAGAAGGUCUUACCAUUUUAAUGAAUAGACGGCAGAGUUUCUUUUUGGGAUAUUAUAGAACUGGUAUAUGUUUUAUUCAGUUUAUUCACCUCUGUACUACCCGAUGUUUUGUAGAAGGAAAGACAACUCUCAUUUCCUUACGUAUCAUAAUUCGCUUCUAACGUUUGAUGUAGAUUAUAAUGUUUCUUGUGUGUAUUUCUCUAAUAAAGAUUCUACCAGCCCGA